rnacentral:rRNA from 1 species
AUAUGGCUCAGGAUGAACGCUAGCGGCAGGCUAACACAUGCAAGUCGAGGGGCAUCGGGAGUAGCAAUACUGCCGGCGACCGGCGCAAGGGUGCGUAACGCGUGAGCAACAUGCCCGUAUCAGGGGGGAUAAUCCAUGGAAACGUGGUCUAAUACCCCAUAGUAAUUAUGUAAGGCAUCUUAUAUAAUUUAAAGCUUUGGUGGAUACGGAUUGGCUCGCGUGACAUUAGCUGGAUGGUAAGGUAACGGCUUACCAUGGCUACGAUGUCUAGGGGUUCUGAGAGGAAGGUCCCCCCACACUGGAACUGAGACACGGUCCAGACUCCUACGGGAGGCAGCAGUGAGGAAUAUUGGACAAUGGAUGGAAAUCUGAUCCAGCCAUGCCGCGUGCAAGGGAAGACGGCCCUAUGGGUUGUAAACUGCUUUUGUAUGGGAGCAAUAAGGGCUACGUGUAGUCCGAUGAGAGUACCAUACGAAUAAGCACCGGCUAACUCCGUGCCAGCCGCUGC